rnacentral:rRNA from 1 species
GAUGAACGCUGGCGGCGUGCCUAAUACAUGCAAGUCGAGCGAACGGACGAGAAGCUUGCUUCUCUGAUGUUAGCGGCGGACGGGUGAGUAACACGUGGAUAACCUACCUAUAAGACUGGGAUAACUUCGGGAAACCGGAGCUAAUACCGGAUAAUAUUUUGAACCGCAUGGUUCAAAAGUGAAAGACGGUCUUGCUGUCACUUAUAGAUGGAUCCGCGCUGCAUUAGCUAGUUGGUAAGGUAACGGCUUACCAAGGCAACGAUGCAUAGCCGACCUGAGAGGGUGAUCGGCCACACUGGAACUGAGACACGGUCCAGACGCCUACGGGAGGCAGCAGUAGGGAAUCUUACGCAAUGGGCGAAAGCCUGACGGAGCAACGCCGCGUGAGUGAUGAAGGUCUUCGGAUCGUAAAACUCUGUUAUUAGGGAAGAACAUAUGUGUAAGUAACUGUGCACAUCUUGACGGUACCUAAUCAGAAAGCCACGGCUAACUACGUG